rnacentral:rRNA from 1 species
UACGAAGGGGGCUAGCGUUGUUCGGAAUUACUGGGCGUAAAGCGCGUGUAGGCGGGUCUUUAAGUCAGGGGUGAAAUGCCAAGGCUCAACCUUGGAACUGCCUUUGAUACUGGAGACCUUGAGUCCGGGAGAGGUGAGUGGAAUUGCGAGUGUAGAGGUGAAAUUCGUAGAUAUCGAGAGGAACACCGGUGGCGAAGGCGGCCAACUGGACGAAUACUGACGCUGAGACACGAAAGCGUGGGGAGCAAACAGG